rnacentral:rRNA from 1 species
GAUGAACGCUGGCGGCGUGCUUAACACAUGCAAGUCGAACGGGAAACCUUUUAAAGAAGCUUCGGCAGAUUUAGCUGGUUUCUAGUGGCGGACGGGUGAGUAACGCGUGGGUAACCUGCCUUGUACAGGGGGAUAACAGUCAGAAAUGACUGCUAAUACCGCAUAAGCGCACAGGACCGCAUGGUCCAGUGUGAAAAACUCCGGUGAUAUAAGAUGGACCCGCGUUGGAUUAGCUGGUUGGUGGGGUAACGGCCUACCAAGGCGACGAUCCAUAGCCGGCCUGAGAGGGUGAACGGCCACAUUGGGACUGAGACACGGCCCAGACUCCUACGGGAGGCAGCAGUGGGGAAUAUUGCACAAUGGGGGAAACCCUGAUGCAGCGACGCCGCGUGAAGGAAGAAGUAUCUCGGUAUGUAAACUUCUAUCAGCAGGGAAGAAUUAGGACGGUAC